rnacentral:rRNA from 1 species
CCUACGGGGGGCAGCAGUGGGGAAUAUUGCGCAAUGGGCGAAAGCCUGACGCAGCGACGCCGCGUGAGGGAUGAAGGUCUUCGGAUCGUAAACCUCUGUCAGCAGGGAAGAACGGUCACUGUGCUAAUCAGCAGUGAAUUGACGGUACCUGCAAAGGAAGCACCGGCUAACUCCGUGCCAGCAGCCGCGGUAAUACGGUGGGUGCGAGCGUUAAUCGGAAUUACUGGGCGGAAAGCGCUCGUAGGCGGUAUGUCAAGUCAAGGGUGAAAUGCUCGCGCCUAACGUGGGAACUGCGUUUGAAACUGGUGAACUGGAGUGUGUGAGAGGAUAGUGGAAUUCCAGGUGUAGGAGUGAAAUCCGUAGAUAUCUGGAGGAACAUCAGUGGCGAAGGCGACUAUCUGGCACAUAACUGACGCUGAGGAGCGAAAGCGUGGGUAGCAAACAGGAUUAGAUACCCCAGUAGUC